rnacentral:misc_RNA from 1 species
GGACAAUCGAUGAGAGCAACAAUUUUUUUCUCUAAUGCCCAACAAUUGAACAACAUUAGUUUCAUGGCCUAAUUUUAUGGACCAGACCGACACUAGGACUUGGGCCAGCUUAAAACUUCUGAAAUCUGUAACAAGCUUCUCCAUUCUCAAACCCAUAAUCAGGCCCAAAAUCAAGAUCAAACAUAUGAAAAAAGAUAAAAUAAAAUAUUAUAAAUCAAUUUAAGCCAACUUAACUCAUUAACCAUAUGAAAUUCACAGUUAAGAAAGUCCA